GGGUAGGUGGCGAAAUUGGUAGACGCAGUAGGUUCAGGACCUACUGCCAUAAUCUGGCGUGUGGGUUCGAAUCCCACCCUACCCA
rnacentral:tRNA from 1 species